UGUAAGCGUAUACCAAAGUUGUUGCAGUUCAAACGCUCGUAGUCGGAAUUUGGCAGUUCCGGAAGUGUGCACGUCGUGUGCGCACUUUGCGGGGACUGCUUUUGUGGUCUUGCGUAGGAUGAGGCACUUUCAUUAGUGAACGUCCUCACGCAACCACUCUUUACUGUGAGAAAAUCAGAGUGCUCAAAGCAGGCAUUUGCCGUGAAUGUAUUAGCAUGGAAUAAUAGAAUAGGACUUGGUUCUAUUUUGUUGGUUUGUUGGGACUGAGUAAUGAUUAAGAGGGACAGUUGGGGGCAUUUGUAUUUCGGUGCUAGAGGUGAAAUUCUUAGAUUACCGAAAGACAAACUGCUGCGAAAGCGUCUGCCAAGGAUGUUUUCAUUGA
rnacentral:rRNA from 1 species